UUCCGGAAACGCUGUGCGUACUAGUAGCUUUACAAGAAUAUAAACACAUCAUGCUAUAUACUCUCAUAAACCCAAUGUAACUUCUUGUAUAUAUAUAAAUCAAAAAGAAGGGAGCAUGACUGUAACUCGGUGACGGAGAACAACCGCCCCAGUACUGUUGUUGUGUCAGCCAGUGGUGGUGUGGGUGAGCUUCCUGUCUUCCAAUAUAUCUUCCACAGUCCCAGCCUGGCCACACGCACACCAGCCAUGAGUAGCGGCAAGGAUUACGAUUACCUCAUUAAGUUCCUGGCACUUGGGGACUCUGGUGUGGGAAAAACAAGUUUCUUGUACCAAUACACGGAAGGUUUCUUUCAACAGCAGUUCAUCUCUACUGUCGGCAUUGACUUCCGGGAAAAACGCCUGAUAUACCGCGGAGAUGGAUCUGGUCGUGCUCAGGGUGUGCACUUACAGCUGUGGGAUACUGCGGGACAAGAAAAGUUUCGUAGCUUAACUACAGCAUUUUAUCGGGAUGCCAUGGGCUUCCUUCUACUGUUUGAUUUGACUAAUGAACAGUCAUUCCUCGAUAUUAGAAGUUGGCUGGAGCAGCUUAAGACUCAUGCAUACUGCGAAAAUCCAGACAUAAUUUUGUGUGGGAAUAAGGUGGAUCUUGUGGAUCGACGUGUCGUGUCAGAGCAGCGGGCUAAAGAGGUUGCUGAGAAGUUUGGGUUUGCAUAUAUAGAGACGUCUGCUGCAACUGGUCAAAAUGUUGAAACUGCUGUCAACCAACUGCUAGAUUCCGUUAUGAAACGCAUGGAGGUAGCGGUUGAUUCUAGUCGCCUGGCAGGCAGGAGAGGCCGCUCAAAGAGGCUUUUGAUGAACGAGGAUGAUGAGGCCGAGGAUACCAGCUCCCAGUGUUCUUGCUAAUUGACUGACUGGCAUAGGACUCCAGGUUAGGGUUAUAUGAAACUAGUCACUUUCGAACUUGGCUCAAUCUCAUAAUGUUUAGUACUGGUAGUAAAAUUUAAGGACUUGAAUUUUUGUUGGUUAAUAGUUUAUGGUAUUGAAUAUUUAAAAAAAAAUAGUAUAAUAAAUGUGACUGCAUUGGAACUAACCAGUACUCAGAACAUAGUUACUGGUAUAUCCUCCAGUCAUCAAUUGUUGUUUUGUCUGUAUAUCGGUAAUGUGUUACUGUAGACAUAACUGGUAUUUUGCUGGAAAUCCUGAGAAUAGCUGCUAUUGAGGUGUCUUUUGGGGGAGGGGGGGCUGUAAUCAAAAUCUUUCCUAUCUCAGGAAGUAGUAGUGCUUAGAUCAUGUGGCAAACCUGAGUGGUUAAGACUGGAUGAAAUAAACAGUAUUUUUGGUAAAUUAAAAAUGACUAAUAAGCAGAUGAGACAAUUCUUGCCAUUAGCUAAUUUUUUUGCAUCUAAAAUUGAGUUGGCCACAAUUUCUACAUUCCUUCACAUUUUCAGUGAUGCUGUUGAAGCGUUGGUAGCUCAUUUUGGCUUAACUGUUAUAUUUUAUUAAGCAGCUGUGAAGCGUACAAAUUGUAGAGAUUAUGGAAACUGUGCUACUGCUCUUAGCAUAAGUAUAAUAAUUGGCCUAUAUAAAUAUUAAAUACCGAAAUAGCAGUUUACUCAAACAUUGGUUGUAGUAAAUAUUUUGUAUAUAGAAAUGCAUUGUGCCUGUAUACCAAGAGUAAUUUUUCACUGUAUACAUGCCAUGAAAUACUUUAUUACCUACGUUUCUGAAUUUAUCUAGUUAUGCGUAGGUGGGAAAGGCAAGGUGACUAGCAAAGAACAAGUGCCAUAACUGAUUACCAUAAUUUCUGCCAGUAUGUAUACUUGAAGUAUUAUCUUGGUUAUCCGAAUCUCUUAAUUGUCCAUUAUUUGGUUCAGAAAACGUCACUAGUUUAUUUCCAGCUAUCAUUCCAGAGAUGGACCAAAUAACUAGAUCAUGGACAAAAGUUAACAGAUGUGCAGACUGUAUGAAUAGAGGUUUGAUAAACCCAAAGAUAGACUAGUUAAAUGUUAAACCACCAGAGAUCAGCCAUAAAUUUGAUUUUUCUAUGCUAUCUAUCUAUCCAAACUAUUAUUUUAGAUGUUUAUAUAUUUUUUAGAAUGCUAUAUUCUAAAUUGUUGGAAAUCCUGUAAAUUAAAACUAGAGCAGUAGUGAUAAUGAUAGUUGCUCAUUUUAAAUAUUAUACUAAAGGAAUGGAAAGCACACACAACAUAUAAAAAGUGCCAGACUGAGUAUACAGCUCAUCCUUAUGUUUUGAUAGUACUUAUAGGAAGGAUGAGGACCAUAGUACAUAUACCGACGUACAAUGCAGUCAAAAAAUAGAAAUCGGUACCAGUGAAUUUGGACAAACCGGGUAACUAUUUUCUACUUGUGUUGCAAAGACAAAAUAAACUAACCUAACCUUCCUAGGACUAAUACAUUUUAUGAGGCCAAAUAUAGUACAUAGGUGUGUAUGAAUAUUUGUGUUUUUUUUUUUUUUUAGCUUAAGUUUUUUCGGACUAGAGUGAAUAGUACGUCAAUGUUAGUACUUUUUGUAACUGCACAAUAGUACUGCAACCCCGCCUCUAAAUAGGAGGCGGGGUAUACCACUCGCCAAGGGAGGGUGAAUGAACAAAUAAUAUUACAUAAUUUUACAAAUUAAAAUAAUAUAUAAUUGCAAGCAGUGAUUAUAGUUUCACUACUCAAAAAAAUACUAAUGUAUUAAAAGUGAUAUUAUGGGUUAUAUAUGAAGUGAAAUAAGAUUGACUUGGAAGGUAAUAGAGAAAGAGUUUUUUUAUAUAUAAUUUAUUAUGAAUCACAUAAGAUAUAAAGUAAACAAUAAUUUAGAACUUUGAGAUGACUUUUCUGAAAUUAGUUGGGUAAAACUAAAUUCCUUAUCAGUAAAUUUGCUGCCAAAUGAUUUGUGUGUGUUUUACGUGCAAAAUAUCCUGUCCCAUACAUAAAUUGUUUUAUAAUUAAAAAUAUUUGUAUCAGAUCUGAAUUAGAAAUACUUUAAGUGCAUA